rnacentral:rRNA from 1 species
AAAUAGAUACCCGGGUAGUCCACGCCGUAAACGAUGUCGACUUGGAGGUUGUUCCCUUGAGGAGUGGCGUUCCGGAGCUAACGCGUUAAGUCGACCGCCUGGGGAGUACGGCCGCAAGGUUAAAACUCAAAUGAAUUGACGGGGGCCCGCACAAGCGGUGGAGCAUGUGGUUUAAUUCGAUGCAACGCGAAGAACCUUACCUACUCUUGACAUCCAGAGAACUUAGCAGAGAUGCUUUGGUGCCUUCGGGAACUCUGAGACAGGUGCUGCAUGGCUGUCGUCAGCUCGUGUUGUGAAAUGUUGGGUUAAGUCCCGCAACGAGCGCAACCCUUAUCCUUUGUUGCCAGCGGUCCGGCCGGGAACUCAAAGGAGACUGCCAGUGAUAAACUGGAGGAAGGUGGGGAUGACGUCAAGUCAUCAUGGCCCUUACGAGUAGGGCUACACACGUGCUACAAUGGCGUAUACAAAAGAGAAGCGACCUCGCGAGAGCAAGCGGACCUCAUAAAAGUACGUCGUAGUCCGGAUUGGAGU